rnacentral:piRNA from 1 species
UAGUUUCUCCGCUCGCUCCCUCAGGUU